UACGUAGGGGGCAAGCGUUGUCCGGAAUUAUUGGGCGUAAAGAGCGUGUAGGCGGCCAGAUAAGUCCGCUGUGAAAUCUCGAGGCUCAACUUCGAGCUGUCGGUGGAAACUAUCUGGCUAGAGUCCGGAAGAGGAGAAUGGAAUUCCUGGUGUAGCGGUGAAAUGCGCAGAUAUCAGGAAGAACACCCGUGGCGAAGGCGGGUCUCUGGGCAUCUCCUGACGCUGAGGCGCGAAAGCGUGGGGAGCAAACGGG
rnacentral:rRNA from 1 species